rnacentral:rRNA from 1 species
GGUUAAGCGACUAAGCGUACACGGUGGAUGCCCUGGCAGUCAGAGGCGAUGAAGGACGUGCUAAUCUGCGAUAAGCGUCGGUAAGGUGAUAUGAACCGUUAUAACCGGCGAUUUCCGAAUGGGGAAACCCAGUGUGUUUCGACACACUAUCAUUAACUGAAUCCAUAGGUUAAUGAGGCGAACCGGGGGAACUGAAACAUCUAAGUACCCCGAGGAAAAGAAAUCAACCGAGAUUCCCCCAGUAGCGGCGAGCGAACGGGGAGCAGCCCAGAGCCUGAAUCAGUGUGUGUGUUAGUGGAAGCGUCUGGAAAGGCGCGCGAUACAGGGUGACAGCCCCGUACACAAAAAUGCACAUGCUGUGAGCUCGAUGAGUAGGGCGGGACACGUGGUAUCCUGUCUGAAUAUGGGGGGACCAUCCUCCAAGGCUAAAUACUCCUGACUGACCGAUAGUGAACCAGUACCGUGAGGGAAAGGCGAAAAGAACCCCGGCGAGGGGAGUGAAAAAGAACCUGAAACCGUGUACGUACAAGCAGUGGGAGCACGCUUAGGCGUGUGACUGCGUACCUUUUGUAUAAUGGGUCAGCGACUUAUAUUCUGUAGCAAGGUUAACCGAAUAGGGGAGCCGAAGGGAAACCGAGUCUUAACUGGGCGUUAAGUUGCAGGGUAUAGACCCGAAACCCGGUGAUCUAGCCAUGGGCAGGUUGAAGGUUGGGUAACACUAACUGGAGGACCGAACCGACUAAUGUUGAAAAAUUAGCGGAUGACUUGUGGCUGGGGGUGAAAGGCCAAUCAAACCGGGAGAUAGCUGGUUCUCCCCGAAAGCUAUUUAGGUAGCGCCUCGUGAAUUCAUCUCCGGGGGUAGAGCACUGUUUCGGCAAGGGGGUCAUCCCGACUUACCAACCCGAUGCAAACUGCGAAUACCGGAGAAUGUUAUCACGGGAGACACACGGCGGGUGCUAACGUCCGUCGUGAAGAGGGAAACAACCCAGACCGCCAGCUAAGGUCCCAAAGUCAUGGUUAAGUGGGAAACGAUGUGGGAAGGCCCAGACAGCCAGGAUGUUGGCUUAGAAGCAGCCAUCAUUUAAAGAAAGCGUAAUAGCUCACUGGUCGAGUCGGCCUGCGCGGAAGAUGUAACGGGGCUAAACCAUGCACCGAAGCUGCGGCAGCGACGCUUAUGCGUUGUUGGGUAGGGGAGCGUUCUGUAAGCCUGCGAAGGUGUGCUGUGAGGCAUGCUGGAGGUAUCAGAAGUGCGAAUGCUGACAUAAGUAACGAUAAAGCGGGUGAAAAGCCCGCUCGCCGGAAGACCAAGGGUUCCUGUCCAACGUUAAUCGGGGCAGGGUGAGUCGACCCCUAAGGCGAGGCCGAAAGGCGUAGUCGAUGGGAAACAGGUUAAUAUUCCUGUACUUGGUGUUACUGCGAAGGGGGGACGGAGAAGGCUAUGUUGGCCGGGCGACGGUUGUCCCGGUUUAAGCGUGUAGGCUGGUUUUCCAGGCAAAUCCGGAAAAUCAAGGCUGAGGCGUGAUGACGAGGCACUACGGUGCUGAAGCAACAAAUGCCCUGCUUCCAGGAAAAGCCUCUAAGCAUCAGGUAACAUCAAAUCGUACCCCAAACCGACACAGGUGGUCAGGUAGAGAAUACCAAGGCGCUUGAGAGAACUCGGGUGAAGGAACUAGGCAAAAUGGUGCCGUAACUUCGGGAGAAGGCACGCUGAUAUGUAGGUGAGGUCCCUCGCGGAUGGAGCUGAAAUCAGUCGAAGAUACCAGCUGGCUGCAACUGUUUAUUAAAAACACAGCACUGUGCAAACACGAAAGUGGACGUAUACGGUGUGACGCCUGCCCGGUGCCGGAAGGUUAAUUGAUGGGGUUAGCGCAAGCGAAGCUCUUGAUCGAAGCCCCGGUAAACGGCGGCCGUAACUAUAACGGUCCUAAGGUAGCGAAAUUCCUUGUCGGGUAAGUUCCGACCUGCACGAAUGGCGUAAUGAUGGCCAGGCUGUCUCCACCCGAGACUCAGUGAAAUUGAACUCGCUGUGAAGAUGCAGUGUACCCGCGGCAAGACGGAAAGACCCCGUGAACCUUUACUAUAGCUUGACACUGAACAUUGAGCCUUGAUGUGUAGGAUAGGUGGGAGGCUUGGAAGUGUGGACGCCAGUCUGCAUGGAGCCGACCUUGAAAUACCACCCUUUAAUGUUUGAUGUUCUAACGUUGACCCGUAAUCCGGGUUGCGGACAGUGUCUGGUGGGUAGUUUGACUGGGGCGGUCUCCUCCUAAAGAGUAACGGAGGAGCACGAAGGUUGGCUAAUCCUGGUCGGACAUCAGGAGGUUAGUGCAAUGGCAUAAGCCAGCUUGACUGCGAGCGUGACGGCGCGAGCAGGUGCGAAAGCAGGUCAUAGUGAUCCGGUGGUUCUGAAUGGAAGGGCCAUCGCUCAACGGAUAAAAGGUACUCCGGGGAUAACAGGCUGAUACCGCCCAAGAGUUCAUAUCGACGGCGGUGUUUGGCACCUCGAUGUCGGCUCAUCACAUCCUGGGGCUGAAGUAGGUCCCAAGGGUAUGGCUGUUCGCCAUUUAAAGUGGUACGCGAGCUGGGUUUAGAACGUCGUGAGACAGUUCGGUCCCUAUCUGCCGUGGGCGCUGGAGAACUGAGGGGGGCUGCUCCUAGUACGAGAGGACCGGAGUGGACGCAUCACUGGUGUUCGGGUUGUCAUGCCAAUGGCACUGCCCGGUAGCUAAAUGCGGAAGAGAUAAGUGCUGAAAGCAUCUAAGCACGAAACUUGCCCCGAGAUGAGUUCUCCCUGACUCCUUGAGAGUCCUGAAGGAACGUUGAAGACGACGACGUUGAUAGGCCGGGUGUGUAAGCGCAGCGAUGCGUUGAGCUAACCGGUACUAAUGAACCGUGAGGCUUAACCUU